rnacentral:rRNA from 1 species
GAUGAACGCUGGCGGCGUGCCUAAUACAUGCAAGUCGAGCGAACAGACGAGGAGCUUGCUCCUCUGACGUUAGCGGCGGACGGGUGAGUAACACGUGGAUAACCUACCUAUAAGACUGGGAUAACUUCGGGAAACCGGAGCUAAUACCGGAUAAUAUAUUGAACCGCAUGGUUCAAUAGUGAAAGACGGUUUUGCUGUCACUUAUAGAUGGAUCCGCGCCGCAUUAGCUAGUUGGUAAGGUAACGGCUUACCAAGGCAACGAUGCGUAGCCGACCUGAGAGGGUGAUCGGCCACACUGGAACUGAGACACGGUCCAGACUCCUACGGGAGGCAGCCGUAGGGAAUCUUCCGCAAUGGGCGAAAGCCUGACGGAGCAACGCCGCGUGAUUGAUGAAGGUCUUCGGAUCGUAAAACUCUGUUAUUAGGGAAGAACAAAUGUGUAAGUAACUAUGCACGUCUUGACGGUACCUAAUCAGAAAGCCACGGCUAACUACGUG